rnacentral:rRNA from 1 species
AGGCCUAACACAUGCAAGUCGAGCGGAAACGAUGGUAGCUUGCUACCAGGCGUCGAGCGGCGGACGGGUGAGUAAUACUUAGGAAUCUACCUAGUAGUGGGGGACAGCACGGGGAAACUCGUAUUAAUACCGCAUACGACCUACGGGAGAAAGGGGGCAGUUUACUGCUCUCGCUAUUAGAUGAGCCUAAGUCGGAUUAGCUAGAUGGUGGGGUAAGGGCCUACCAUGGCGACGAUUCUGUAGCUGGUCUGAGGAGGAUGAUCAGCCACACCGGGACUGAGACACGGCCCGGACUCCUACGGGAGGCAGCAGUGGGGAAUAUUGGACAAUGGGGGAAACCCUGAUCCCAGCCAUGCCGCGUGUGUGAAGAAGGCCUUUUGGUUGUAAAGCACUUUAAGCAGUGAAGAAGACUCUUCGGUUAAUACCCGGAGACGAUGACAUUAGCUGCAGAAUAAGCACCGGCUAACUCUGUGCCAGCAGCCGCGGUAAUACAGAGGGUGCAAGCGUUAAUCGGAAUUACUGGGCGUAAAGCGAGCGUAGGUGGCUUGAUAAGUCAGAUGUGAAAUCCCCGGGCUUAACCUGGGAACUGCAUCUGAAACUGUUAGGCUAGAGUAGGUGAGAGGGAAGUAGAAUUUCAGGUGUAGCGGUGAAAUGCGUAGAGAUCUGAAGGAAUACCGAUGGCGAAGGCAGCUUCCUGGCAUCAUACUGACACUGAGGCUCGAAAGCGUGGGUAGCAAACAGGAUUAGAUACCCUGGUAGUCCACGCCGUAAACGAUGUCUACUAGUCGUUGGGUCCCUUGAGGACUUAGUGACGCAGCUAACGCAAUAAGUAGACCGCCUGGGGAGUACGGCCGCAAGGUUAAAACUCAAAUGAAUUGACGGGGGCCCGCACAAGCGGUGGAGCAUGUGGUUUAAUUCGAUGCAACGCGAAGAACCUUACCUGGUCUUGACAUAUCUAGAAUCCUGCAGAGAUGCGGGAGUG